rnacentral:lncRNA from 1 species
CUGAUGGCUUGCCAUUGGGUGGGACCAGUUCCUAGGGCAGCCUGCCUGCCUGGCUGAGCUGUAUUACAUCGUCCUGGUGGGUGGCACUGACCUUGGGCUAACAGGCCCGGGGAAGAAUACCAAUAGCAUCUGCCAGCAUCUGUGUCAGUAUGCUUGUGUGAGGUCACAAUAAUGUCUGCUGCCAAUGUCUCAGUCCCUGGAGAGGUCUCACCUCUCAACAAGAUGCACCCAGAGCCUAUCAGGAUGUCUGAAGCAAUCAAGAUAUUAAUACCUUAGCAUCCAUUGCCAUAAGAACAUGUCAUUCCUUCGUCCAAGAUUUAUGCUACGUAAUAGGGAUGCAAUGAUGGAAAAAAAGAACACAACAGCAAUGAUAAAACCUACAUAAUACACUAACUAGCACAAGUAAGAAUUUCCAUGAAAUUCAAGUAGUAAUGGGAGAAGCACACCAUGCAAUUUAAGAAGAGGCACAGAGUGACCUUCACAUUUCAUUUGGAUUACAGAACCUCAUGAAAUUGUACUUUUUUGUAGAAAUCAAUAGUCUACAACAAACAGAUAUCACCAAAACACUAUAGCUCCAUAUGCCUGCAAAGCUUUGCUGAUCCUCCCAGCAUUUAUUAUGUAUCUGAUUGUGUGGGUGGCCACCCUCAUAAGAGCAGUUGGGACAAAAAUGGUAAAUCUCGUCUUGGAAUUCAAAAGACACCAUAACAGAUGUUAUACAAAAGGAAUGAGAAUACAGAAGGAAGAAAAGAAGAGCUGUUAUGAACCUCUACAGAGAUAAGAUGAAAUGAGAAUGUGGACCAGAGUAUUUCUGUUCAUUGCAUCCCUCACUCCCAAUAACCAUGAGAAUGAUAGGGUGAGGAGGGGACAUCCUCUGGAUAUUUGAAGUGGGCUGGGAAGAAUGGUCUGGACCAUCACCUAUAUCUGAUCCAUCCAGAAAUCCAGGAGUUGGCAGUCUAAGGGUGAUUUUUGUUUCCAAAUGUGGAGCUAGGCAACUGUCUUCUACCACUGGAACAAAAAACCUAGAGAUUACAACCCUGAGAAGGAGGAUCCGCAGGGAUCUGGCCUGGAGAACACCAGAAAUAGGCUGUCGACAUGCUGUAAAAUGUUCUCUCGUGAUGCUGGGCAUCAACAGCGAGCAACAGCUCCCACUCAGCCCCACGAUCAUGAGGCUUGUGUGCACGGCUGACGAUCCUGAACUACCUUUCUACAGGCUGAAUUCCACACUAACACUGCUGGAGGAAUUAGAACACGUCGAAGCAUGAAAGGCUAGAAUGCAGACAUGGGAGCAACUCAACAUCAAACAUGCAGAUGAUGACAACUAACCCGUAGGGAAUAGUAGAACAACAAAAUGGCAGAAACCUGUGUCCUUAAGAGACUCCAUGGAUCAGAGCCACUCUGCUAACCUAGGCCAGCCCAAAUAAAACGUGUCUGAGAAAUAAACUUAUUUAACCUUCUGUA